CAAUAUACGAGAUACAUAUUGCUAAAUAUAUAUCUCGUAUGUUCUA
rnacentral:precursor_RNA from 1 species